rnacentral:rRNA from 1 species
CCCAAACCAAUAAAGUUUUCUUUAUUGGGGUUGCGGACAUAUCAUAACGAAGAGGUAUCGUAAUUGAAGAGGUUUGGAAAGACCAACCACAGAAGGUAAUAGUCCUGUAUGUUAAACGAGAAGACUUUAGAUAUGAUCCAGAGUACCACGGGACACGUGAAACCCUGUGGGAAGCAGGAGGGACCACCCUCCAAGGCUAAAUACUACCUAGU